rnacentral:rRNA from 1 species
AACGAACGCUGGCGGCAGGCCUAACACAUGCAAGUCGAGCGCCCUUUCGGGGGAGCGGCGGACGGGUGAGUAACGCGUGGGAAUAUGCCCUUCUCUACGGAAUAGCCUCGGGAAACUGAGAGUAAUACCGUAUACGCCCUUAGGGGGAAAGAUUUAUCGGGGAAGGAUUAGCCCGCGUUGGAUUAGGUAGUUGGUGGGGUAAUGGCCUACCAAGCCGACGAUCCAUAGCUGGUUUGAGAGGAUGAUCAGCCACACUGGGACUGAGACACGGCCCAGACUCCUACGGGAGGCAGCAGUGGGGAAUCUUAGACAAUGGGGGCAACCCUGAUCUAGCCAUGCCGCGUGAGUGAUGAAGGCCUUAGGGUUGUAAACUGCUUUUUCGUCCGGGACGAUAAUGACGGUACCGGAAGAAGAAGCCCCGGCUAACUUCGUGCCAGCCGCCGCCGUAA